rnacentral:rRNA from 1 species
AUGAACGCUGGCGGCGUGCCUAAUACAUGCAAGUCGAGCGAACGGACGAGAAGCUUGCUUCUCUGAUGUUAGCGGCGGACGGGUGAGUAACACGUGGAUAACCUACCUAUAAGACUGGGAUAACUUCGGGAAACCGGAGCUAAUACCGGAUAAUAUUUUGAACCGCAUGGUUCAAAAGUGAAAGACGGUCUUGCUGUCACUUAUAGAUGGAUCCGCGCUGCAUUAGCUAGUUGGUAAGGUAACGGCUUACCAAGGCAACGAUGCAUAGCCGACCUGAGAGGGUGAUCGGCCACACUGGAACUGAGACACGGUCCAGACUCCUACGGGAGGCAGCAGUAGGGAAUCUUCCGCAAUGGGCGAAAGCCUGACGGAGCAACGUCGCGUGAGUGAUGAAGGUCUUCGGAUCGUAAAACUCUGUUAUUAGGGAAGAACAUAUGUGUAAGUAACUGUGCACAUCUUGACGGUACCUAAUCAGAAAGCCACGGCUAACUACGUG